rnacentral:ncRNA from 1 species
AUUGAAGACAAGGAGUGGUUAAUGAAUGAAAGAGUUCGCUUUUUCAAACAACCUGAGAAUUAUCCUUGAACCUGAAUAGGGUAAUACCUGCGAAGGAAUAUUUUCAUUUAAUAUA